CACCCUAAUCUCUUCCUAGCCACGGGUCUCCAGCUGGGCCAACCGUGGGCUGAACCCAGAAGAAAGCCUGUGGGCUGAGGGGCCUGGGGGUACAGCAGGUGGAGCUUAGCUUUCCAGCUCAGCAGGGAGGUCAGGAAUGCAGAAGGGGUCUGCAGGGCAAGCUGACAAAGCCCAACACACAUGGUCUCUUUGGCCUGAACAUCUUUUCUAACCUCAUCACUACAUGUGGCACCUCAUUUGCCUAGAAUCUGCCAGCACACUUUUUUUUUUUUUUUUUUUUUUUGAGACAGGGUCUCACUCUGUGCCAGGGCUGGAGUGCAGUGACAUGAUCUUGGCUCACUGCAGCCUCAACAUCCCUUAAGCAGCCUCGAGGGAUCCUCCCACCUAAACCCCCCCUCCCACCGCCGCCUCAGUAGGUGGAACCAUAGGUGCACAACCAUGCUUCGCUAACUUUAGGAUUUUUGGGGUUUUU
rnacentral:lncRNA from 1 species